AUAUCGCAUUGAAACACGAGAUCUCGUACGAUCACAGAAGUUAAGCAAUGUCGAGCUUGGUCAGUACCUAGAUGGUUGACCGCUUGGGGAUACCAGGUGCUGUGA